ensembl:lncRNA
GAAAGCCCAUCGCCUGAGAGGAGAAGGUAACAUUCCGGUGAGAAAUAUCCCUUCUCUGUACCCCUAAACAUACCAAGCACUGCCAAGAGGAACAUAUAUACAAAGGUUUCAUAAAGGGCACUGGGAUCCUCACUGUCAAGUUCCUGGAUUGAUGAGAGCUGUAGCACACAAUACUAUGCACAUGCUCAAGUAGGUACAUAAGUGUGAUAUUGAAGGCAAGAAAGAAGACAAAGCUCUGCGGAUGAGAGAGAGAGAGACAAGGAUGAGGCAAAGAUAUGACCAUCUGCUAUCAAAUUUGAUUAAUGUCUGAACAUGCGUUGCAGAGCCCUUCCAUGUUACGUCCUGUACCUGUGUAACGUGCAGGCUAUGCUGUUGCCUCAGUGGUUCUGUUGCUUGAAUGGGGAAUACUUGCAAAAGGCAAGGGAAGCUUGCAUGAAUCUCUUCUCUGCAGAGAUUGGCAGCCUCAGACCCUCGCGUGGAACAAACCACCUCACAGCUUUCACUGUGGCACACAGGCUGCCCAGCUUCCCAGUGAGCCAGCGUGAGU